GCUCCAUGUUUGUUUCUGCUGCUCUGAGGUGAUCUUCUGUUUUACUUUGGGAAGGAAAUUUAGAGAGUCAAAAGUCUUCUGACGUAUUCCUGAUAUUGCUAAAAAUUCUCUUCAUAGGACUGAAUACAAUCCUAUUUGCAAUUCAAGACUCCAGAGGAUCUGAAGUGUCAUCCUUAAGGCUGUUGUCCUUCUCUAGGCCACUGAUCCUCCUCAGUAAACAGGUACGAUUAGAUUAAAUGAUUCCAAGUAACCUUUCCAGCUUCAAAUCCUACAAAUCCUAAAAUCCAUACAACAUAGAAUGACACAUGGCUCAUUGAAGAAUGUAUCUCCAAGUGAAACACAAA
rnacentral:lncRNA from 1 species